rnacentral:rRNA from 1 species
UACAGAGGGGGCAAGCGUUGUUCGGAAUCACUGGGCGUAAAGCGCACGUAGGCGGCUUUCUAAGUCAGGGGUGAAAUCCUGGAGCUCAACUCCAGAACUGCCUUUGAUACUGGGAAGCUCGAGUCCGGAAGAGGUGAGUGGAACUCCGAGUGUAGAGGUGAAAUUCGUAGAUAUUCGGAAGAACACCAGUGGCGAAGGCGGCUCACUGGUCCGGUACUGACGCUGAGGUGCGAAAGCGUGGGGAGCAAACAGG